GUACUCCCCGCGGCGGCGGGCGCAUGCGCGUUCCCAGGAGCCUUUGCGCCUUCCGCGCCUCUGGGCAGAUAGGCGGAGGAAAGGGAAGCCGUCGUCAGGGACAGGCUUUCCACGUCCCCAUUGACGCUGCUGAGGAAGCAGUCUCAGCACCUCUCCAGGGUAGUGUCUGCGUACCACUACUCUAACGAGGCGCCUGGAGUGCAGAAGGAUUCUUAUUCUCGCCCUCUGGGCCUUCCCCUUUAACCUGGAGUCACGCGAGAGGCUACUCAACGCACACCAUAGGUCCGCUGAACUGCGGGGUGGGACCUGAAUCCGGGUCACCAGAAAAACCAGCCUCUGCUCUCUAGAGGAUUUAACUUGAACCUGGACCGGUUCCGACUCCUUUUCCGAGCCCUCCUGACGUCACGGGACGUUCUGGGCCUUUCCUGGACUAGAACGGGACUUCGGGUCCCAGCGUGCUUUGCGCGCUGCCACUCAUUGGAUUCGAGACAUCUUGGGAUUUGUAGUCUUUGAGUGUUAGCUCCUUGAGUAGCACAACCUGGCUGCCUUGCUCCUUGCCGUGUUCCCAGCGCCAGAACAGUGUACACAUCACCACCGAGACCGUAACUGGGGAUGGAUCUGGCACGACCCUCUGGCUGCAGACUGGCCCUUGGGUAUUAGGAGAGUGAAGGACUGCACGCCCUCCUGCUGCAUCAGCAUUAGGGGUCUUACUAUGGAGAGCUCCCGUUCUGUGUGUGUUCAUUUCCUAUGGAUGCCAUAACGAAUUACUACAAACUGGGUAGCUCACAACAACAGAAAUGUCUUAUUUCACAGUUCUGGAAUCUGGGAGUCCAGAACGAAGGUUUCCACGGGCCAUGCUCCCCAUGAAGGCUCUCACAAAGGAUUCUGCUUUGCCUUUUUCUGCUUCAGGUGGCUCUCCAUGUUCCCUGGCUCAUGGCUGCAUAACUCCAUUCUCUACCUCUGUCUUCACAGGGUCUUCCUUCCUCUGUAUAUAUCUUGGGGUGCCCUCUCCUCUUCUUAUGAGGAGGGCACCAGUCAUUAGACUUGGGGCCCACCCUGAUCCAGUAGGACCUCAUCUUAAUUUAUUACAUCUGGAAACACAUUAUUUCCAAAUAGUCUCUCUCUGAGAUUCUGAGCGGGCAUGAAUUCUGGGUGGACACCAGCCAACCCACCACACUGUGAGCAAUUGCUGUCUGUGUGUUGCUGUUCACACUCUCAUUCUGAUUGGUUAGAGGCUAUCUCGCAAGCCCUAAUGUGUUGCCCCUUGAUCCAAUUGCUGCACACCUUGGCUCUUGCUGCCUCACCCACUGGACUGUGGAUUUUACGGGAGUGUAAAUGAGAGACAACCCUAGUACUUUGACACUGCUAAGACGUGAGCUGGCCCUCACUGGGGUGCAGGCAGCCCUCAGUAGCUGGAAUCAAUAAGAUGCUGUCACCAGAACUGGGGCCUCACUCAGAAACACGUGCGCUCUACAAUCUACCCUGACCGACUGAGUUACACUUAGGCUUUAUAACCACAAAGCUGAGUCAGUAUUAUCUGAAUCAUAGCAAAGAAGGCAUAUCCUUAAGUAUCUGAUGAUGUUGCAACAUGUCCCAUCACUGAGGUCAUACCUCAGUGUCAUGUGUCAUGGUCACAAACGCCCAUGGCACAGCGUCUUACCAAGCCAGGAGGAGACGGAGCUGCAGCCAUUGCUAUUAUUGCUGUAAUUAUUGCAGGUUUCUCUUUAGCUUACCAUGGCUACGUGCAAGUUUAUCCUUCUGCCUGGAACACUGACGGCCCUCUCUUCACCUGGUUAGGUCGUUCUCAGACCUCAGGUUUCAGCUCCAACGAUUCUUUUUCCGAGAGGCUGACUGAUCCCCUACUUCAUCUCUGUGCCUCAACUUCUUCAUCUGUGAAAUGGGAAUAACAGUAGGAUCCACUUUAUGGCACCACUGAAGGGUAAAUGAGCUGAUACAUGAAAACAGUCCCUAGCAAGUUGAAAGCACCCAAUACAUUAUUUGUGAUUAAUGCAAUCCUUAAUGAUAAUUUUAACAGUAAUUAUCAUGUGUUCAUUUUAUUAAUGCUUGUUAAUUUUAUUAUUCUCUGACUUCUCGGCUGUAGAGAAGGCUGGGUUAUGCCCUCUCCAUCCCCACAGCCUCGGCUCUCAUAACACUGAAUUGUACUUUUGCUUUGCUUGUCUGCUAGUCUCUGGGCUGUUUGAGAGCGGAGGGGUGACAUUACCUUUAUACUCCAGCUCCUGAGGCGGGGCCGGGCACUUUAGGACUCAAGGUCAAAGUGGGAUGACACCGUGAGAAGAGAAUGGGGUCUGCAGCCCCAUGGAAACAAGCGGUCCUCCUUCGAACAGGCCCCCCAGUCCCUCUGGACUUUGGCCUUCCCUCUGAGGAAGAAGAGGAUCGGACCUGCCUCAGGGCUGGCCCCCUGAGUGAAGGAGUUAUGCUGCCACAGUGAGCACUUUAAGUGAAAACAUUCAAAGCAUCAGGCUCGGAACUGGUGUCCGUGAAUACUAUUCAGUAGUAGCUUCCCGAACUGUAAGUUGCCUGAAAGAACGUGACGGAUGAGAUGUGAUGUCCUCGAUCCAGGAGCAUCAGCCCAAAUCCAAGACUCAAAGAAGGCCUAAGCAUUCAUCUGGAACUAAUGUGGGUAUGCUGUGAUUUAAAAAGAACAAGAAAACAAGGUCUGAGGGAGAAAAGCCCUGAGAGAUAAUCCACCUCCUGACCCCUUGUACAGAAUAUUAAGGGCAUGUUGGUGGGGUGGGGUGAUGGUCCAUCUCUACGGAUACCUGAACAUGCAGCCUUGGGACAGAGCCUCAGUCCUGAGAUGCUGACGGUUCUCGGCCUCUUGGUGAGCUGCCACCAUCCGGGCAUGUAAGCUGAGGGGCAUCCUGCAGGGGCUGUAUCUAGGAUGCUCGGCAGAGCUCCUCAUCCUCCUAUUACUGGCUUUGACUGCCCCCUAGUGGACAUUUCCCCCUCCAGAACCUUGGGUACUAGCUGAAUUCUCCAGGGGCAGGGUUAGGGCACUGCCCAAGUCCCUUCCUUGUCUUCUCCUCUUCUCUUCUAUGCUCACUCGCAUGGCAGUAUCACCCCAUCUUGUGGCUUUACAUGCCACCCAUGUACUGACUACUUCCAGUACAUGGAAAUCACAUCUCCAGCCCACACUUCCCCCCCUGAACUCAAGACCUGGAGAUCCAACCACCGCUUGUCUUCUCCACUGGAACGUCUGUCUAAUAGGCAUCUUGAUCUGAAUGUGUCCCAAACUGAGCUCUUUAUUACCUAUCCCCCAACCCUGCUGCUAUCCCAAGGGUCUCCCCAUCCCAGUUAUGGCAAUAACAUCCUUCCAGAUGCUCGGGUGAAAAACAGGGUGCCAUCCUUGACUCACCUCUUUCUUUCACACCCCGAGUCUAAUCUGCUGGCAAAUAAAUCCUAUUGGCUGUACCUUCAAAAUAUGUCCAGAAUCUGACCACCUCUUGCUAUCCUGGUCCAGGCCACCAUCAUUUCUAGACUUGUUGAUAGUCUUCUAUCUGGUCCUGAGGCAUCUGGCCUUGUCCAGUGGUUCUCACUUCAG